UACGAAGGGGGCUAGCGUUGUUCGGAAUUACUGGGCGUAAAGCGCGCGCAGGCGGCUAUCCAAGUCAGUGGUGAAAGCCCGGAGCUCAACUCCGGAACUGCCAUUGAAACUGUUUAGCUGGAGUAUGAGAGAGGUGAGUGGAAUUCCCAGUGUAGAGGUGAAAUUCGUAGAUAUUGGGAAGAACACCGGUGGCGAAGGCGGCUCACUGGCUCAUUACUGACGCUCAGGCGCGACAGCGUGGGGAUCAAACAGG
rnacentral:rRNA from 1 species